UACGGAGGGGGCUAGCGUUGUUCGGAAUUACUGGGCGUAAAGCGCACGUAGGCGGCUUUGUAAGUUAGAGGUGAAAGCCUGGUGCUCAACACCAGAAUUGCCUUUAAGACUGCAUCGCUUGAACGUCGGAGAGGUGAGUGGAAUUCCGAGUGUAGAGGUGAAAUUCGUAGAUAUUCGGAAGAACACCAGUGGCGAAGGCGGCUCACUGGACGACUGUUGACGCUGAGGUGCGAAAGCGUGGGAGCAAACAGG
rnacentral:rRNA from 1 species